UNCUGGCAAAAGGAAGCACAUUGAUGACUAC
rnacentral:piRNA from 1 species